rnacentral:rRNA from 1 species
AUGAACUGUGAUAACCAAACUGUGAUCGUCAAGAUAAACAGUUCGAAGGACAAUAUGAAGUCCUCAAGGCAUGUGAAGAGGAGACUAAAAUCUGUCAGAAAAUUGAGGAACUCCGGAGUUAUUACGUUGGAUUAUAUCCAAACGUCGAAAAACUUGGCAGAUCCCUUCACAAAGGGUUUAUCACGUAAUGUGAUAGAUAAUGCAUCGAUGGAGAUGGGUCUGAGACCCACCGCAUGA